CUAAGGUGGUCCCCCUCUCACAUGCCUGUCCCUGGCCUGGGGCCCAAGUGAUCUCCUGGCCUUCUGGUGAUGCCCACAGCACCCUCCAGGUGGGGCUGGGAAUUUAUAGGAGGACCUGGGGGUUUCCUCAAGAUUCAGAUCAGGCCUUUUGAUGGAGCUCCUACCAAUCCUACUGCUAGAUCAGGGCCCACCUUCAGCUCAUCUCACAGGUGACUCCCAGGACACCAUUUCUUGCAAGAAGAGAAACUGAGGCUCAGAGAGGUGAAUGGACUGGCCCAAUCUGACCCAACUGGUCAGCAACAACUCUAGGGCCCCCAGGCCUUCCACUUCCAUACGCCUGCCCAGAAUAAAGGCUAUUCCCAGAAGCCCUGGCAGCUCAGCAUAGCCAUAUAAAUAAGUUCUAGCAAAUGGAUAUAAGUCAUGGUGGGUACAAUUUCUAGGAGGUGUCUUUAAAGGAUGGCAGGUUGGUUCUCCUUUCUGCUCUAUGGAGGAUAUAGGCAUGAUGACUGGAGCUAAAACAAGCAUUUAGGACUAUGAGGGGGCAGGGCAACAAGCUGGAAGGAGUGUGGAUCUCUGACUACUUCCAGAGUCCUUUGCCAUCUAUUUAAGCCACUGCUAUUUUGCAUUUCCUGUCAUGCGUAGCUGAGCUAACUCCUAACUAACACAGUGGUGAACACAUUAGUUUUCCUGCUCAGCACUUUCCCUUUUCCCCUUCUUUGGAGAAAAACGCCCCUUCUUUUUCGUUUCCUGCACUUUCUCCGUAUAGGUCAAUUGGGGCCUGCCAAUACUAAUGUCUCAACCUCUGUCUCCAGGCCAGAAACCACUGGCAGCCCCAUGGGGAAAUAAUAAUGAGUGAAUGAAGUGAAAAUGCAGAGAGAGAAGGAGACGAAGAGCCUGAAGGUGCUGGCAGCUCUGGCUGCAGUUGCCCUGAAGCCCCACUGAACUCUGCCCAUCCUGGAUUGGUUGUAAGAGAUAAUAAAUGUCCUUCUACAAGCUGGGGUGAUUGCCACUUACAAUCCAUAAUGACCUGGCCAAUGUGGAAGAGCAUGUAAUCAAGCAGCCAGAGAUAAAAGCAGACCAGCUCUGGGGUGGCAAGAAGGAAAGAGAGAAUCUGUAGAGAGAUCAGAUGGAGUCCUGACAAAGAAGGCAAGACUCAGGCCAAGACUGAAGGAAGCGGAGGCUUGACUGGCAGAUGAGUGAUGGAUGGAAGGAAAAUGAGCACGGAGGGGGUUCUUAGGGUCUGUGUGGGAGAGGAGGGGAGAAAAAGUGGGAAAGGUAGGGAAUGCAACAUCUCGAAAGGCCCCAUAUAUUAAGGUCAGGAGCUAGGACUUUAGUCACUUUGAUCAGCAGGUCUCAGACUUUUAGUCUUCUAGGAGAAGCAUUCCCUAAAAAUACAAAUUCAGAGCCCCACCAUUGCGGGUUCUGAUUCAUUACCUUUGGGGAGAAGACCAAGACUGCACCAGAAGUAAGCCUUAUAAAGGCCAAUGGUAGGCAGUGAGAAGUCAUUAAGCAGGAAAGUGACCAAGGGUGUUAAGAAAAAUUAGACCGAGGCCAGGCACGGUGGCUCAUGCAUGUAAUCCCAGCACUUUGGGAGGCCGAGGCAGGCGGAUCGCCUGAGGUCAGGAGUUUGAGACCAGCCUGACCAACAUGGUGAAACCCCAUCUCUACUAAAAAUACAAAAAUUAGCUGGGCAUGGUGGUGCACGCCUGUAGUCCCAGCUCCUCAGGAGGCUGAGGCAUGAGAAUCACUUGAACACGGGAGGUGAAGUUUGCAGUGAGCUGAGAUUGUGCCACUGCACUCUAGCUUGGGUGACAGAGCAAGACUCAGUCUUUAAAAAAAAAGACAAAAAAAAA
rnacentral:lncRNA from 1 species